CCUCUUAGGAAGUUAUCGUGUUGCACCCCU
rnacentral:rRNA from 1 species